rnacentral:rRNA from 1 species
AUUGAACGCUGGCGGCAUGCCUUACACAUGCAAGUCGAACGGUAACAGGUUAUGAUGACGAGUGGCGAACGGGUGAGUAAUGUAUCGGAACGUGCCCAGUCGUGGGGGAUAACUGCUCGAAAGAGCAGCUAAUACCGCAUACGACCUGAGGGUGAAAGCGGGGGAUCGCAAGACCUCGCGCGAUUGGAGCGGCCGAUAUCAGAUUAGGUAGUUGGUGAGGUAAAGGCUCACCAAGCCGACGAUCUGUAGCUGGUCUGAGAGGACGACCAGCCCCACUGGGACUGAGACACGGCCCAGACUCCUACGGGAGGCAGCAGUGGGGAAUUUUGGACAAUGGGCGCAAGCCUGAUCCAGCCAUGCCGCGUGCGGGAAGAAGGCCUUCGGGUUGUAAACCGCUUUUGUCAGAGAAGAAAAGGUUCUGGCUAAUACCUGGGACUCAUGACGGUACCUGAAGAAUAAGCACCGGCUAACUACGUGCCAGCCGCCGCAGUAA